UUGAUGGGUUAUAAAAUGUAUCAGCCUUGCAAUUCAUUUGGUUACACAAUGCUUAUUAAUUCCUCCGAAGCAGAAGCAAGACUUCAACAGGCAUCACAUCAUAAAUAAAGCACCGGUGGUGGCACCAGAAACUAUGUGCAGGUCACUUAGUCAAUAUUGUUCACCAAGACCGAUCCACUCAUGGAAAACGAACUAGCCUGUUAACUGCCGAGUCCAAUGCAUCUACAUUUCUCCGGAUGAUUUUCCUUCAGAGAGUCAAGGAAUCACAAUGAACAAUUACAACGUGAUAUCUGGAUUGCUUCUAAACAGUUACCUAGGGAUUCUGGUUUAAAGCAAUAAACUAAUAACUAUUUGUUUGAAUGGGAAAAAAGGGGCAGCCUGAUAACACAAAGCUCCCAGUAUGCAGGGGUUCCGAAGAAGGACAAGACUACACUAGGUCUAUCGACGUAGCCUUACCUUGCAUUUCUUCAAGAGGUUGUUUCUACUAAAAUCUGUGAUCUCCUGGUUACAUGGUGGCAACUCUUAUCGUUG
rnacentral:lncRNA from 1 species